UACGAAGGGUGCAAGCGUUGCUCGGAAUUAUUGGGCGUAAAGGGUAGGUAGGUGGUCUCAUUUGUCAGGGGUGAAAGCCUUGGGCUUAACCCAAGAAGUGCCCCUGAAACGGUGAGACUUGAGUUCUGGAGAGGGUCGUGGAAUUCCCGGUGUAGCGGUGAAAUGCGUAGAGAUCGGGAGGAACACCAGAGGCGAAGGCGGCGACCUGGACAGAUACUGACACUCAACUACGAAAGCGUGGGGAGCAAACAGG
rnacentral:rRNA from 1 species